rnacentral:rRNA from 1 species
UACGGAGGAUGCGAGCGUUAUCCGGAUUUACUGGGUGUAAAGGGAGCGUAGACGGUAAUGUAAGUCUGAUGUGAAAGCCCGGGGCUCAACCCCGGGACUGCAUUGGAAACUAUGUAACUAGAGUACCGGAGAGGUAAGCGGAAUUCCUAGUGUAGCGGUGAAAUGCGUAGAUAUUAGGAGGAACACCAGUGGCGAAGGCGAUUUGCUGGACUGUAACUGACACUGAGGCACGAAAGCGUGGGGAGCAAACAGG